rnacentral:rRNA from 1 species
UACGUAGGGUGCAAGCGUUAAUCGGAAUUACUGGGCGUAAAGCGUGCGCAGGCGGUUUUGUAAGACAGAGGUGAAAUCCCCGGGCUCAACCUGGGAACUGCCUUUGUGACUGCAAGGCUUGAGUGCGGCAGAGGGGGAUGGAAUUCCGCGUGUAGCAGUGAAAUGCGUAGAUAUGCGGAGGAACACCGGUGGCGAAGGCGGAUCUCUGGGCCUGUCCUGACGCUCAGGCGCGAAAGCUAGGGGAGCAAACAGG